AAAUAUUGAAUUCUGAUUAAUUGUAUUCCCUAUACACAGUGCCGUAAGCAGUGUUAAAUGUGGAAUUUACAGUCAUUUACAGCACAAGUGUUCAGUGGAACAAAAUUAGAUCGUUUGUUUGUUUGUUUGUUUUUUAAAACGAGCUGGUUGUAGAUAUUGCAGUUGAAGUACAGUACCUGUGCGGAUAUAUUGUGCGCUGCAGCAUAUUGUAUCCGGAUUCAUUAUUGGAAAACAAUGACUUCGUCCAAAGUUCGGUAUCUAAUACUUUUCCAGUAUUGCGGUACUAAAUAUAGUGGUGUAAUGAAGACGCCAACACACCAAAACAUCCUCAGAGUUCAGAAUUACCUGGAGGUGUGCUAAUAACAAGACUGCUUCCAGCUGCUCAGGUGAACACAUGUGUAACUGGAGGUGUGCUAAUAACAAGACUGCUUCCAGCUGCUCAGGUGAACACAUGUUUAACUGGAGGUGUGCUAAUAACAAGACUGCUUCCAACUGCUCAGGUGAACACAUGUUUAACUGGAGGUGUGCUAAUAACAAGACUGCUUCCAGCUGCUCAGGUGAACACAUGUUUAACUGGAGGUGUGUUAAUAACAAGACUGCUUCCAGCUGCUCAGGUGAACACAUGUUUAACUGGAGGUGUGUUAAUAACAAGACUGCUUCCAGCUGCUCAGGUGAACACAUGUUUAACUGGAGGUGUGCUAAUAACAAGACUGCUUCCAACUGCUCAGGUGAACACAUGUUUAACUGGAGGUGUGUUAAUAACAAGACUGCUUCCAGCUGCUCAGAAGGCUAACCUCCGGGAGCUGCAGCUAAACCGCCAGCAAUUAAACUCGGACUGCACUCUACCAUUGAGCACGAAUAAACCUGUAAAUCAGCACUGUCACUAACAGCACUCACUCUGGACUUGUGACCGUGUUGUGUUUGU